rnacentral:lncRNA from 1 species
UUUGGGAGAGAAAAGCGACGUUGGAACAAAAAUUUUUAAGAGAAGAACGUGUUUGAACCCCCUUUGAUGUGUCUCCUAAGAUUAGCUCCUUAGGAUGAGCAUCUACAUCCUUCCAAUCCUUGGGUAAGGAUGUUUCGGAAGUGGAUGUAUCCAAGUUACUAGUUGGAGAUGGGGUUUCAUUUAAAUUCAAGGAAUCAAAAUUAACAUCAUCAUCAAAAUCGUUUUUCCUGAUUUCGGAAAUCUUAUUGAAGAAAACAUGAAUGGAUUCUUCAAUAAUUAAAGUUUUUUUAUUGAAGAUAUGAAAAGCUUUAGAAACCGAAAUAACCAAGAAAGAU